AAGCCAGACUCCUACGGGAGGCAGCAGUGGGGAAUAUUGCACAAUGGGGGGAACCCUGAUGCAGCGACGCCGCGUGGGUGAAGGAGUACUUCGGUACGUAAAGCCCUAUCAGCAGGAAAGAAAAUGACGGUACCUGACUAAGAAGCCCCGGCUAACUACGUGCCAGCAGCCGCGGUAAUACGUAGGGGGCGAGCGUUAUCCGGAUUUACUGGGUGUAAAGGGAGCGUAGACGGCAGUGCAAGUCCGGAGUGAAAGCCCGGGGCUCAACCCUGGGACUGCUCUGGAAACUGUAAAGCUGGAGUGCGGGAGGGGCAGGCGGAAUUCCUGGUGUAGCGGUGAAAUGCGUAGAUAUCAGGAGGAACACCGGCGGCGAAGGCGGCCUGCUGGACCGUAACUGACGUUGAGGCUCGAAAGCGUGGGGAGCAAACAGGAUUAGAUACCCGAGUA
rnacentral:rRNA from 1 species